rnacentral:rRNA from 1 species
AUUGAACGCUGGCGGCAGGCCUAACACAUGCAAGUCGAGCGAGCGGCGGACGGGUAAGUAAUGUAUGGGGACUGCCCGUUAGAGGUGGAGAACUACUGGAAACGGUAGCUAAUACCGCAUCCUAUCGGAUAACCCAUAGGGGAUUAGCUAGUUGGUGGAGUAAUGGCUCACAAAGGCGACGAUCCCUAGCUGGUCUGAGAGGAUGAUCAGCCACACUGGGACUGAGACACGGCCCAGACUCCUACGGAGGCAGCAGUGGGGAAUAUUGCACAAUGGGCGAAAGCCUGAUGCAGCCAUGCCGCGGGUAUGAAGAAGGCCUUAGGGUUGUAAAGCACUUUCAGUUGGGAGGCGUUACCAACAGAAGAAGCACCGGCUAACUCCGUGCCAGCAGCCGCGGUAAUUC